UCGCCCUAAUCAAGGAUUAACUAUCCGGCUAAGUGGUACUAAGUAUCGAAAACCUGUAUAGACCGGCAUGUCCUGUUACUCCUAAAAGAAGGUUAUUUGUUUCAGUUAUGUUUUCGUAUAAAUGUUUUCGCAACGUUUUCAUACAUCCGGAUCCAGUUCUUUGGACCACUGAUUGGAACAUUUUACUCACAUGUAGUAGAAGACAUUCUUUAGCUUUGCUUAAACCAAAAAUUAGGCUCAUGCAUAGAAAAAGACCACGGAAAAAAGUUCAAUUAUUCAAUUCUGACUGUAAUUUGUAUCAUUGUUCUCCAUACGUUUCAAAAUACCAAAAACUAAGUCAGCGUUGCGUUUUCUAUAGUCGAUGUGGUUGCCAUUGUAUGGAUGUAAACUAAGCAAAAAACAUCCAAGCUACCGCUGGAAAGUAACGCUGAUCAGCCUUUACUAGAAUUUUAUAAUAGAGACUAGCUUAAGAGGCCCGGUUACAGUGCUACGCACGGAAACUCCAGGCUGCACAGAAACAACUGGAGCAUGCCACCUCGUUCCUCGUGGAAAUUGGAAGUCUCAUGGCAUUCCAAGGAAAGAUUGCUGGAGAGCCUGGAAAUGUGGGGUGUUCAGUCAAAGUCAGGUGCGCAUGGAACGUGGUGCAUGAAGUAAAGCUCCACCUUCCAGCAUGGAAGUUCAAUUGAUUGUCCCGUCGUUUACGUGAUCGUUUUGGUUGCAGGCGCUGCAUGAAACGAAAAUGCAGUAAGGAUAGCCAAGGAAGAUGUACACAUGUAUUGUUUGUAUUUUGCUGCCGUCUUGUUCUAGGUUCUGGUAGAUGUAUUUAAUUACGUCACACUCUGGUUCAGUAGAAGAAUCAUCUGUCAACGACCUCUCGGUAGACGAUGUUGCUUGUGGAGACACCUUCCUCGUCAGCGCGUUUCGGGUUCGGUAUCAGCACAGCAAUGUUCGCUCGUGAUGUCACCCGCGAGAGUGCAACGUAUAGCUGGCCAUGGGCGAAAACAUCUUGCGGCAGAUAUAGGCCCAAAUGGUGAAGCGAUUGCCCUUGCGACUUGUUGAUGGUCAUCGCAAAGCACACUUGCACCGGAAACUGUUUACGGCGGAUCUGGAACGGGUGACCCUUAUCGUUGCUGUCACAGAAGAUCCGUGGAAGCAGGACGUCUUCGUCUCUCCGCGUGCCUGUCAGAAUUUUAGCGUGUAAACAGUUUCGCUUUAGGCCUACAAUUUGCAAACGCGUACCGUUACACAAUCCCAUGUCGGAAUUAAGAUUGCGCAAUAAAAGUACUGGUGCAAAUCGUUUCAGCCGCAAGCGAUGCACUGGGAUGCCGCUGA